CAUCUGGACUCGCAGCGGUUGAGACGAUCGUCCCAGAGAUGAUUCCACUGAUGCAUCAACAGCCAAUCGGCUCUGAUUGAAUCUCAUAUCCUUCGUCUCACGCGGUCCGACAGCAUCGUCUGCGGAGCCUCUGCACUUCAGCAAACACAGGACGAGAGACGGCUCAGACAGCGCUCCCAUGCGUUUGGACAGGAAGCUGGUGCGUCCAACGGUAACAGAUCACAAAAGAUCACAAAUGAUCACAACAUCCAGCCUCACCUCCGUCAGACCAUGAACAGGAAGCCACUCAGCCACAUGUGCACAAAGACUUGACUCAGAUAAUGUUUGUCUUUGCUGCCAGCAAAGACCACACACAAUGAGGAAGAACCACGGUGACGCAGAGGAGACGACUGGACCUCCUUCACCCGCUGCUGUUUCUGAGUUACUGGUUCCGUAGAGGUCCAUCUUUUAGCAGUUUGCAUUUCGUCUGCUUGCAUCAGUCAAUAAUUGGCUCCUAAUAGAGAGCGAGUGAAGAUCCUGCAUCACUGGCGGAUCAUUAGAGGCGCUGGUUCUGUACUGAGCACAGAACCUGCCACCUGUACUGAGCAUCAUCAGGGGAAGCGUCUUCAGCCUCAUUGCUGCCGCCGUGUUCAGUGCGUCUCUGCCCAUCGGCCUCGACAUCCUGCUCGCACUCACUCACUGAUAUCACAACACGAGAGAGAAGCUGAGGAGAAAGGAGGAGGGAGCAGACGCGUCCCUCCACGCUCGCACGGACACAGAACAAAGGGGGAAAAAAGAAACCCAGAACUCAGGAAGUUCAUCCAAAGGCCACAAUGAAAGAAAUGUACAAGGAGAGUUGGUUCGAAAGGAUCAAGUGGCUGCUUCUGUGUCUCUAUCUAUGGACGCUGCUCAAACAACCUGUUACAGAGACGUGAAGCGUGCAUAGAAAGAUCAAAGGGCCCUUGGCUACAACGUAACUCUUAGAGGGUUGAAACCUACGGAGCAUCGGUCCGAACGAGAGCCAAACCAAAGGUUAUUGACGGGCGCCAGAGGAAGAUGAUGACAUCACCUCCAACCAAUGGCACGGCAGAUGCCGCACAGAGAGGACGUGGGGAUGGAGACGGGAGAGGAUGGAGAGCAGCACUUUUAAUUUGUGUUUUGCUGAACUCAGCGGCUCCUGUCACUGAGCUACGAGGUGGAGAAAAGGAACGGUGAUGAACGAGUGAAUAAAAAGAGGGAGAGAAAGAAAAAACAAGAUGAGACGGGGGAGAGAGAAUGAGAGAUUGAACACUACAUAAAGGAGGUGCAAUGAAAUAAAAGAUUAUUUUAUGGCUCCAGGCUGCACAUUGGUUGAUGGGCUGUUAGCGGCGAGCAGUUAACAGAUUGGACGGGAAGAAAGAAUCUAUGGGAAACGAGAGACGGAGGAGGAGCGAGCCUCCAUCAUGUCUGGUAAACGUGGAGGAAUGAUGGCACACGAACGCUUAUUGAUUGUUUGUGUGUGGUCAGUUUGCAGCAUAUUCU